rnacentral:rRNA from 1 species
GACGGAGGGUGCUAGCGUUGUUCGGAAUUACUGGGCGUAAAGGGCGCGUAGGCGGCUCUGUCAGUCGGGUGUGAAAGCCCGGGGCUCAACCCCGGAACGGCACCCGAGACGGCGGGGCUGGAGACCGGGAGAGGAGGGUGGAAUAGCCAGUGUAGAGGUGAAAUUCGUAGAUAUUGGGUGGAACACCGGUGGCGAAAGCGGCUCACUGGCUCGGUUCUGACGCUGAGGCGCGAAAGCGUGGGGAGCAAACAGG